AUACGUUGGAACAUCAUGAGUUGUUCUUGAACGGCCGAAUUUGCGAAAUCUUUAGCAAUCUUUCGAAUUUCAAGAGAACUUUUACGCUCGGCGUUUGCUUUAAUAGCUUUUGACUCGAUUGGUAAACCAUGACAAUCCCAACCAGGAACAUAAUGCACAGAACGGCCUUUCAGCAAUUGCCAACGAUUGAUGAUAUCCUUCAAAAUCUUAUUUAGAGCAUGACCUAUAUGCAGUCGACCGUUUGCAAACGGAGGCCCAUCUAAUAGCACGAAAGAAUCUUCUUUAUUCAAAUUCUCCUUCUGCCAUUCAUACAGGUCUGAUGUGAUGGAUUUGAAAUACUUUUCAUUAUUUCCUUUAACGUUUGGCUUAAUAGGAAACGAAGUCUUUGGCAAGCAUAGUGAUUCUGAAUAUUUCUUCAAAUCCGCCUGACUGCUGAGAAACCUACCUGCUUGUUUACAACAAAUGUGGUUAUGGCCUUUCGGCAAACUGCUUAUAUAUGAAAAUUUCAUAUGUCCGACGAUUCCUUAUAAUCCGAGCAUAAAACGAAUAUAGGAAUGAAUGUCGACCAAACUGGGAAUUGGUAACCUCGUGGGUACGGUCCCAAUUCCGUAUAUUGUACUGGUAGUAACUAUAGCUGUAGUCUGAAGUGCCAAGGCGUAAAACCGGUCCAAUGCAUAGAAAUGCCAUUAUUUCAAAUACUAUACACAAACGAAGCUAGCAUGUGGACAGCAAAUUUGGACUGAAUGUUUCCUUGGAUCAAUAAUGAUUUAUCACAUAACUGUUUAAAAAGUAUAUGAAUUUAAGAGCUGAAAAAGUAAAAAAACUCAUUAUUUCAUUGUAUCAUUGAAGCAUUACUCAAUCUUUCUCUGAAGCACCAAGAUACGAGUUUCUACUAAGGGUUCCUCAUUAAUUAAAUAGUUCUCCUAGACGUUGUGCUUUACUUAAACAGAGAAAAAAAAAACAUCUGGAGACUAAUUGGGUUAAACAAAGGGCAUGUUUGAAUAGAUGUAACAGAUGGUUCGGCUAAUGAAAAGUAAAGGCAAGCAUUUUCAUGAAAGAUAU